rnacentral:rRNA from 1 species
AACGAACGCUGGCGGCAGGCUUAACACAUGCAAGUCGAGCGCCCCGCAAGGGGAGCGGCAGACGGGUGAGUAACGCGUGGGAACAUACCCUUUGGUUCGGAAUAACUCAGGGAAACUUGAGCUAAUACCGGAUACGUCCGUAAGGAGAAAGAUUUAUCGCCAAAGGAUUGGCCCGCGUCCGAUUAGCUAGUUGGUGAGGUAACGGCUCACCAAGGCUACGAUCGGUAGCUGGUCUGAGAGGAUGAUCAGCCACAUUGGGACUGAGACACGGCCCAAACUCCUACGGGAGGCAGCAGUGGGGAAUAUUGGACAAUGGGCGCAAGCCUGAUCCAGCCAUGCCGCGUGAGUGAUGAAGGCCUUAGGGUUGUAAAGCUCUUUUGUCCGGGAAGAAACACUCCUACGUGUAGGAGCUUGACGGUACCGUAAGAAUAAGGAUCGGCUAACUCCGUGCCAGCAGCCGCGGUAAU